rnacentral:rRNA from 1 species
UACGGAAGGAGCAGUGGGGAAUAUUGCACAAUGGGCGAAAGCCUGAUGCAGCUAUGCCGCGUGCAUGAAGAAGGCCUUAGGGUUGUAAAGUACUUUCAUCGGGGAGGAAAAAAACAAAACUAAUAAUUUUAUUUCUUGACGUUACCCGAAAAAGAAGCACCGGCUAACUCCGUGCCAGCAGCCGCGGUAAUACGGAGGGUGCUAGCGUUAAUCAGAAUUACUGGGCGUAAAGAGCACGUAGGUGGUUUUUUUAAGUCAGAUGUGAAAUCCCUGGGCUUAACCUAGGAACUGCAUUUUGAAACUGAAAUACUAGAGUAUCGUAGAGGGAGGUAGAAUUCUAGGUGUAGCGGUGAAAUGCGUAGAUAUCUGGAGGAAUACCUGUGGCGAAAGCGGCCUCCUAAACGAAUACUGACACUGAGGUGCGAAAGCGUGGGGAGCAAACAGGGAUUAGAUACC